rnacentral:rRNA from 1 species
GACGAACGCUGGCGGCGUGCUUAACACAUGCAAGUCGAACGGAGUGGCGAACGGGUGAGUAACACGUGGGUGACCUGCCCUGCACUUCGGGAUAAGCCUGGGAAACUGGGUCUAAUACCGGAUAGUGUGGGAUGGGGCCGCGGCCUAUGAGCUUGUUGGUGGGGUAAGGGCCUACCAAGGCGGCGACGGGUAGCCGGCCUGAGAGGGUGGACGGGCACAGUGGGACUGAGGGAGGGCCCAGAGGGCUACGUGGGGCAGCAGUGGAGAAUAUGGCACAAUGGGCGGACGCCUGAUGCGGAGACGCCGGGUGGGGGAUGACGGCCUUCGGGUUGUAAACUCCUUUCACCAUAGACGCGGUAGAUGGAGAAGAAGCACCGGCUAACUACGUGCCAGCAGCCGCGGUAAUUC